GUCCUAUCUUCGUGUUUCCCACGCUGCUCCCUCCUUGGUGAACUGACCGAAACUGGGUCUGAGGUACGAGCGCCCGCGAGCUCUUCCGUGGGGCUAGGAGGAGAAUGGCGCAAAGGACUUUUCUUACAAGCGGAGGGAACUGGGGAAUGACAGAGAUAAGAAGGCAUGGUGAUAACAAGCUGUAGAUGGCUCCACACAGGAACAGAGAAGCAGGUUCAGCUUGGACAAGAGCCUUUAGGUCUAACUCUCAGUUUACAAGAAAUGCAAAGAACAGAAGAACAAGUUUAAUAACACCAUGAGGAAGCAAUCAGACAAAUACAGAAGCGCUAGAUACUUAGUGGACCCCGACUAGAAGCCAGCUCAGGAGAGAAGAAUCUUCUCCUGCUGUGUGCAAAUCAUCUACCAGAUUGGACCAACUGUAAGUUUGCUACACUGCCAAAGCAUUGUGACUUGGACUUCUAGCCACUGUCCUGCGGCACUUCUACAGAUUGCCCCAAUUGCCCCAGCUCACUUCUGGCUAGUCCUGGUGACCUUCUUUUUGUUAGGCACCAGGGAGGUCCUUGCUGACCUCAUGGCUGAACCCAUGUGGCCUGUCAGCAGCUGGAGAACCAUUCCUAAGAGCUGAGAUAGUGAGUCAGUCCCCAACCCCCCGCCCCGUUGCCCAGAGAAGAUUCCUUUCUCACUGGUUAUGCAACUUCACUCAGGCUAUGUUUUCCUUAGUAGAGUCCAAGAUUUGGAAUCUAUAAGAGAAAGGGCAGGUAAUAAGAGAAAUAAGAGAAAAGGGCAGGUAAUUUCAAGAAUGGAUCAUGUUUCUCCAGGAGAGGGAUUAUUUUUAGGGGUGGUGAUGAGGGAAAUGGCAAGUGGCCUGUGUUCACAGAUAAAUCAGUAAAUAAAAGGAGGACUUGAAUGUAUGUGGAUCCUUGUUCCCAGAGUGGAUUAUUUGGGCAAGAAGCCAGAACAAGAGAGAGCCCUCAGUAGAGGAAAGUACCCACCCACAUGAGUAUAUAGUGUGGUAUUAAAGUACAUUCAGCCUUCAGCCCUGCUCUAUUCACUUUUUCCUAAAUCAAUACUAUCUUUCAUCUUCCAGAAAUGAAAAACUAGCCAAAUUUUCACUGUGGACCUGGAUAGGUUGAGAAAUGUGAUGAGAAUGAAUUUUGCUUCAAACUGGGUUCUGUGGCUACUGGGUUUACACAGGAAAGAAUAAGGACUCCAGGUGGAAGAGGUAGCAACUUCACUUUUUCCCCUCUGCAAUAAGUAAGCAAAAGAUCCACUAAGUGAGAAAACACAUGUGAAAGUACUUGGUAUGCUUGCCAAAUGGAUGAGAGUCAAUAAUAUUGACUUUCUUGUUCUAUCUAAGCUUAGUAUUGGGAUCCAUAAGGCAGAUUUGUGUGUAGGAAGAAUAACAGGGGUACCAAGCAGGUGGGGGGGGUAUUGUCUACUGGGUUGAUAGUUAAAAUUUGACCAUUAGACAUUCUUUCCUUUGACUCUA